rnacentral:lncRNA from 1 species
UAGCAAAACCACCCAUCAGAGCCAUCGUUAACCAUUGGUUGUUAAGGCGUAUUCGCAAAAUCCCUAUAUCUACAGCUGUGGCAAUAGGGUCGUGAUUUGGUAAUAUGCCAAUUUGACCACUAUUAGUAGAUAACACGAUUUCUUCCACUUCUGAAUCCCAAACAAUUCGAUUAGGAGUCAGUACACUAAGAUUUAAGGUCAUUUCUUCAAAUUGCUCUCCAUUUCUAAGUUCAUAGCCUUCGCGGUAGCUUCAUCGAUAUUACCUACCAAAUAAAAGGCCUGUUCAGGAAGACCAUCUAAUUCUCCGGAAAGGAUCAAUUGAAAUCCUCGAAUUGUUUCUGCUAGACCAACAUAUUUCCCUGGAGAACCGGUAAAUACUUCUGCUACGAAAAAGGGUUGUGAUAAGAAACGCUCAAUUUUUCGCGCUCUUGCUACGAGUAAACGAUCCUCUUCGGAUAAUUCGUCCAAUCCAAGGAUAGCUAUAAUGUCCUGAAGUUCUUUGUAACGUUGUAAAGUUACCCAUCAGAGCCAUCGUUAACCAUUGGUUGUUAAGGCGUAUUCGCAAAAUCCCUAUAUCUACAGCUGUGGCAAUAGGGUCGUGAUUUGGUAAAAUGACAAUUUGACCACUAUUAGUAGAUAACACGAUUUCUUCCACUUUUGAAUCCCAAACAAUUCGAUUAAGAGUUAGUACACUAAGAUUUAAGGUCAUUCUUCAAAUUGCUCUCCAUUUCUAAGUUCAUAGCCUUCGCGGUAGCUUCAUCGAUAUUACCUACCAAAUAAAAGGCCUGUUCAGGAAGACCAUCUAAUUCUCCGGAAAGGAUCAAUUGAAAUCCUCGAAUUGUUUCUGCUAGACCAACAUAUUUCCCUGGAGAACCGGUAAAUACUUCUGCUACGAAAAAGGGUUGUGAUAAGAAACGCUCAAUUUUUCGCGCUCUUGCUACGAGUAAACGAUCCUCUUCGGAUAAUUCGUCCAAUCCAAGGAUAGCUAUAAUGUCCUGAAGUUCUUUGUAACGUUGUAAAGUUUGCUUAACUCGUUGGGCGGUUUCGUAAUGUUCCUCACCAACGAUCCGAGGUUGAAGCAUGGUUGACGUUGAAUCUAAAGGAUCUACUGCUGGAUAAAUACCUUUGGCAGCCAAUCCUCUUGAUAGUACGGUAGUAGCAUCUAAAUGUGCAAAUGUCGUAGCAGGAGCAGGGUCGGUCAAAUCGUCUGCGGGUACAUAAACUGCUUGAAUAGAGGUUAUGGACCCUUCUUUGGUAGAAGUAAUUCUUUCUUGUAAAGAACCCAUUUCAGUACUUAGGGUCGGUUGAUAACCCACAGCGGAGGGCAUUCUACCCAAUAAGGCCGAUACUUCGGAUCCUGCUUGGACGAAACGGAAGAUAUUGUCAAUAAAUAGAAGUACGUCUUGCUCAUUAACAUCUCGGAAAUAUUCCGCCAUAGUUAGGGCAGUCAAACCAACUCUCAUACGAGCUCCUGGUGGUUCAUUCAUCUGACCGUAAACUAGGGCCACUUUUGAUUCUGCAAUAUUUUCUUCAUUAAUCACUCCAGAUUCUUUCAUUUCCAUGUAAAGAUCAUUUCCUUCCCGAGUACGUUCACCCACUCCGCCAAAUACGGAUACGCCCCCGUGAGCUUUAGCAAUAUUGUUAAUCAAUUCCAUAAUGAGUACUGUUUUACCCACUCCAGCCCCCCCGAAUAGUCCGAUUUUUCCUCCACGGCGAUAAGGGGCUAAAAGAUCUACUACUUUAAUUCCUGUUUCAAAAAUAGAUAAUUUUGUAUCCAACUGUAUAAAGGCGGGCGCAGAUCUAUGAAUAGGAGAUGUUGUACUAGUAUCUACAGGCCCUAAAUUAUCAACAGGCUCU